GCACUGGUGAUUCAGUGGUAGAAUUCUCGACUUCCACGUGGGAGACCCGGGUCGGAUUCCCGACCAAGGCA
rnacentral:tRNA from 1 species